UCCCCACCAGGGUCCUCAGCCACACACCCCGAGCCCUGCCUGCGGGCCCAGCCCCCCCAUUUCCGGAGCCUGCGCCCCGGACCCAGCGGGGGCUGAUCCCUGGGAAAGGCCUGGCUUCCUCUUCCUUCCUGUCCCUGCCCCACCUCCGCCGGGCUCCACAGCCGCCGGGAGCCCAGGGCCGAGACGGGAGGAGGGCACCCACCUGGUCGGUGUCACAUGCUGCUUCGGCCCCAGCGUCCCCUCCAGGUCCCGGCGCCGGCCGCAGUCCCCAGAGCCGUCCCCAGCGCAGGCCCGGCCGCCCCACCCGCGGCCCGCCCCUGGCCGCCCGACGGGAGGGAGGGAUCGGGUUCUCCUAGGAAGUUUCAGGUCAUUCAACAUUUAUUCAACCAAAAAUACUAAGUCAGCUCUAUACAAACUAAUGGAAGGAUACAGCUAUGCAAAUAUAGAACACUAAAGUGUUACAUGACAGAUGUAUGAGGGGAAGAGUGCUGGAUUCAGAGCCCACCUCAGGGGAAGACAGGACCCUCUCCAAGAUGGUUUCCCUAGAAGCUACUACCUCUCCCUGGAGGGUGGAGAUAUUUGCUGGUCAAAG
rnacentral:lncRNA from 1 species